AACAGGGAUUGCCUUAGUAGCGGCGAGUGAAGCGGCAAUAGCUCAAAUUUGAAAUCUGGCACCUUCGGUGUCCGAGUUGUAAUUUGAAGAAGGUAUCUUUGGUUUUGGCUCUUGUCUAUGUUCCUUGGAACAGGACGUCACAGAGGGUGAGAAUCCCGUGCGAUGAGAUGCCCAAUUCCAUGUAAAGUUCCUUCGACGAGUCGAGUUGUUUGGGAAUGCAGCUCUAAGUGGGUGGUAAAUUCCAUCUAAAGCUAAAUAUUGGCGAGAGACCGAUAGCGAACAAGUACUGUGAAGGAAAGAUGAAAAGAACUUUGAAAAGAGAGUGAAAAAGUACGUGAAAUUGUUGAAAGGGAAGGGCUUGAGAUUAGACUUGGAAUUUUCCAUUUAUGGAGCUUUCCGGGCCAGCAUCAGUUUGGAUGGCAGGAUAAUUGCGUUGGAAAGUAGCACCACUUCGGUGGUGUGUUAUAGACUUCGUCGAUACUGCCUAUCUAGACUGAGGACCGCGUCUUUGACUAGGAUGCUGGCGUAAUGAUCUUAAG
rnacentral:rRNA from 1 species